rnacentral:rRNA from 1 species
GUGCAGCAGGCGCGAAAACUCCGCAAUGCGCGCAAGCGUGACGGGGGGACCCCAAGUGUCGUUGGUCUUUUGAUCGACGGCUUUUCGGGAGUCUAAGAAGCUCCCGGAAUAAGGGCUGGGUAAGGCUGGUGCCAGCCGCCGCGGUAAUACCAGCAGCCCAAGUGGUGGCCACGAUUAUUGGGCCUAAAGCGCUCGUAGCCGGGUCAGCAAGUCCCUUGUGAAAUCGGGCCGCCCAACGGUUCGGCGUGCAAGGGAUACUGUUGAUCUUGAGGUCGGGAGAGGUCGGAGGUACUCCUGGGGUAGCGGUGAAAUGCUCUAAUCCUAGGGGGACCACCAGAGGCGAAGGCGUCCGACCAGAACGGACCUGACGGUGAGGGGCGAAGGCUAGGGGAGCGAACGGGAUUAGAUACCCCUGUAGUCC